rnacentral:rRNA from 1 species
GAUGAACGCUGGCGGCGUGCUUAACACAUGCAAGUCGAACGGAAAGGCUCCUGCUUGCAGGGGUACUCGAGUGGCGAACGGGUGAGUAACACGUGGGUGAUCUGCCCUGCACUUCGGGAUAAGCCUGGGAAACUGGGUCUAAUACCGGAUAGGACGAUGGUUUGGAUGCCAUUGUGGAAAGUUUUUCGGUGUGGGAUGAGCUCGCGGCCUAUCAGCUUGUUGGUGGGGUAAUGGCCUACCAAGGCGUCGACGGGUAGCCGGCCUGAGAGGGUGUACGGCCACAUUGGGACUGAGAUACGGCCCAGACUCCUACGGGAGGCAGCAGUGGGGAAUAUUGCACAAUGGGCGCAAGCCUGAUGCAGCGACGCCGCGUGGGGGAUGACGGCCUUCGGGUUGUAAACUCCUUUCGCUAGGGACGAAGCGCAAGUGACGGUACCUGGAGAAGAAGCACGGGCUAACUACGUG